rnacentral:rRNA from 1 species
GAGUAAUAUAUCGGAACGUGCCCAGUAGUGGGGGAUAACUGCUCGAAAGAGCAGCUAAUACCGCAUACGACCUGAGGGUGAAAGGGGGGGAUCGCAAGACCUCUCGCUAUUGGAGCGGCCGAUAUCAGAUUAGCUAGUUGGUGGGGUAAAGGCCUACCAAGGCAACGAUCUGUAGUUGGUCUGAGAGGACGACCAGCCACACUGGGACUGAGACACGGCCCAGACUCCUACGGGAGGCAGCAGUGGGGAAUUUUGGACAAUGGGCGCAAGCCUGAUCCAGCAAUGCCGCGUGCAGGAAGAAGGCCUUCGGGUUGUAAACUGCUUUUGUCAGGGAAGAAAUCCUCUAGGUUAAUACCCUUGGGGGGAUGACGGUACGUGAAGAAUAAGCACCGGCUA